GCUCUGACUUCACAGAUAAAGCCCCAAACUGAAAAAUGUACCUGCUAAUAUAUUGGGCUCUAAACGUAGCCCUGGGUUAAUUGAAUAACAAUCCCUGUACCUGAAGCACAUCUUGGAAGCCAGGCAGAAGCUGUGGAGCCGAUGGAGUUGUCAAGCUCGACUUCAGCUUCUUCCCAGCUAGAAGAAGCAAGGACACGCCGGCUGAGUUCCCCAGGCAACGCGCCCUUAUCUGUAGACAAGGAUUUUGAGAUGCUCCUUUGGGAAAUCUCAGACGGCAUACUGGAAGCUGAACUCGACUUGGACCCAGGGAAGGAUGAGGAUGACCUCCUCCUUGAACUUUCCAAGAUGAUUGACGAUUGAACUGCAUAGUCCUAUGGUAUAUU